rnacentral:lncRNA from 1 species
UUUGGAAUUUUUCAUAAAUCGCUUGAUCAACGAUUUAUGAAAAAUUCUUCCGCUACGGUAGAGUUAUGUUACGUUUAAUUUGUUUUGCUUAGAUAGUAUGCUUUGAAAGCCUAAUUAGUUGUUAAGCAAACGAUGAAAAAUACAACAUUCAAAUUGCAUUGCUCCGUCAAACUCGGUUCGAGAAACCCCGCAAAGCCUUGCCAUGCCACCACAUUCAGCCGACGUACAUUGCAAUCAUUCAAUGACGAUCAUCGACCGGCCAGCAGAGUCAGUGAACACGAUCACGCUGGGAGAAACUGGGGAGAUAAUCGGUAUCAGUACACAUACUCGAACAGCCAUCAUCCCAACCAGAGGCAGCUACCACACUAGGAGAUCAUACCGUGGACAAGUGAGAAGCGUCGCCACCACCACAUGAGAGCACGAGAGAAGGAAUGGAGCGAAAGAUCCAUCGGCAUCAUCAUGCUGGAGAAGUUAAGUUCAACACGGCACGCACACCAUUAAAGCCCGCCGGCAGAACAAGUGAACGAUCGCAAAGGAGUGGAGUUUAAUUGUCUUCCAUCUGUAAGCCAAACCGCGUGUGCCGUUCAGUCGGCGGUGAAAAUUUCCAUUUCGGAAUUGAACAAAGUGCGUUCGUUAGAAAACCCCUCGAAGACGGCCCACUGGAUUAGCUGAUCUUAUUCUCGACCUGUGAGCAGGUGUAGCACCCGGAAACCUGCGUAAGAAAUCGAUUGGCCAGAUGGAAGAACAACAGGCCAAAAGAAAGUGAGCCGAGUGAUCAUGGCUUCGGCCUAAAUUUUGCGAAACUAAUUUCCGCCAUCUUUGAUUUGGCAGCUAAAUCCGCGUGUGCUUUCCAAGAAGGAGGGAUUCGUCGAAAAACCAGACCGUCUGGAUUGUCGGCCGCCAUUGCCGAAAAUCAUUCCCGAUUGGAAAUAGAUGACUGUCCACGCACGGACUCUGGAUUAAACACGCUAGGUGGAGACAAUCGUGUGAAGAGCAGGAGAAAGUCGAGAAUCAUCACCGGCCAAGCCGAAAGCCAACUCGAUCGCCAGAACUAUCCCGACAGAAGCGACUUAGACCGGAUCACGUCGCAGAGCAGAGAGCCCCUCUAGAAGGGGCUCUUUUCUUUCUUGCAGUUUUGCGCACUCAACGUGCCUAGAGGACGAGACAGGUCGCAGGGUCGCGGCGUCGUAAAUCGAACAUUCCGUUCGCAAUAUCACCCACCCCACACCCGAAGAGCAGUCGCGCCAAGCAUAGCGCGCAGGACAGAGGAUUUCCGUAGCGGAGUUGCCACGACAUUCAGGCGAGACGCGUAAUACGGAGGUUUGCUGAACCUGGGGAGUUUUGAUCGGGAUGUGCCUAUCGAAAGGUGGUGGAUAUGUUGGCUAGGAAGGCGGCAGCUGUGCAGCAUCAACAGGACCGGCGCAAGGCUUCCCUGGAAGAUUAUCCGGUGGCGUAAGAGCAUGCAGAGUCAGUGAGUCCUAGAGUUUAGGAGCAAUGCAUAUUAGCUUUUAAGAAUCCUAGUACAGGAUAGCGUAGGAGGUCUCAGGACCGAGAAUAGGAGGCCAGGACAGGCAAAAUGUUGAAUAUACGCAUUUAAAAUGAAUUUUGCUGAUU